GGCCACAUCUGCCAGAGCCUGGAGUCUGCGAAGGCCGGGACCCGGUUCCCCGGCCCACCGUGGGGGGGGGUGUGCAAACCCGAGAGAACUGGUCGCUGAAACCUCUACAACUUAGUUGACCGUAACUGCCAGAGCCCUGCCCUGAAUUCCUGUCCUUACUCCCUCUUUAAGAUUGCGUACCCACUGCAGAGUGCUGAAGACGGGGUAGCCACGAGGUUGCAAAUUCGUGAAGAAUCAGCAUCAUGUUUGGCAGCUGAGUAUUGGAGCCAGGAGCCUGCCAUGAGGUUUUGAGAACAGAGUGCUGUUUUAGAGCUGGCAGCAGCAUCUCAGCCCAAGAGAAGGUAAGCCUUGAGCUGGCCAAUGAUCCCCCCAACCCCAUAGUGGAAUGAAUAAACAGCUGAUCUUGUUAAAACUCGCUUCAAAAAAAAAAGAUAUCAAAUGAUGAAAUCACCCAAAAUAGCUGGAAUUACCGGCAGAUUGUGUAGUGGUGAACCUACGGUUUUCUGAAGAUAUCUCUUACCCUGUGAUUGACUGUCAGUUGGUGCAGAAAGUGAGAUUGAAAUGUAGUUUCUUUGCAGGUUAUAUUCCCAGAGGAUGUCAGUCCCAAGGACCAGUAGCUGCCAUCAGUUUGGAUUCUGAAAACUAACCGGCAUCAACACUGGGUGUAGAAACAUGCUUGCCUUAUGUAUCAGAGGACAUGCUCAGCAGAUCCAAGAGAUAUAUUUGGCAACUUUUUCUAGAAAAGGCACAUUGGGUAUCAUUCAUUACAUUCUUGAG
rnacentral:antisense_RNA from 1 species